AUGAAUCUGGAUGAGGGUUUUACAGUAGUUAUUGUCUUGAUUUUGGAUUUUGAAUUUUUGUUUUAAAUUAAAAUAUUUAGAUAAAUUAGAGGGACGAUAAGACCCUAAAAGCUUUACUUUAUUUAUGUGGUUUAGAUUAAAAUGUUAGAUUGGCUGGGGUAGUUGUUUUAUAUUGACUAAGAUUUAAUAAAGCUUAAAAGGUUGAUGGUCCUUAAAAUUAAGAUAGUUAGAUGGAGUUACUUUAGGGAUAACAGCGUAAUAACUUUGGAGAGGUCAUAUUUAUGGGGUUGAUUGCGACCUCGAUGUUGAAUUAAAUUAAAAACUACAGCGCAGAAUAGGUAGGGUUAGGUUUGUUCAGCCUUUAUAUAUUUACAUGAUUU
rnacentral:rRNA from 1 species